rnacentral:rRNA from 1 species
UACAGAGGUCUCAAGCGUUGUUCGGAUUCAUUGGGCGUAAAGGGCGCGUAGGCGGUCACGCACGUCCGUUGUGAAAUCGCUCGGCUCAACUGGGCGGGGUCAGCGGAUACGGCGUGGCUGGAGCAAGCUAGGGGGCAAUGGAAUUCCCGGUGUAGUGGUGGAAUGCGCAGAUAUCGGGAAGAACACCCGUGGCGAAGGCGGUUCUCUGGGACGGUACUGACGCUGAGACGCGAAAGCGUGGGGAGCGAACAGG